GGAAGGAUCAUUGACACGUAUCCACGUAUCAACUAAAACCACGAACUGUUCUCCCCGUAGACAACCUACCUCUGCGCUGUUCUUCCGAGUCUAUAAUGGGUCGCACUUCGGUGUGACAGGGCUCGGUUGUGACUAUUCACUCCUCGAAGUGAUGGCAAAGUAAUUGGCUUGUCGGGCUUUAUUCUUCAUUCCAUUUGAAUGUACCCAUUCUUCCAUUCAUGGCUUGAUAAACCAUACCCGUUUCACCAUAUGUUACCUAUUUGGCUAAUUACUACAUUCUUUGGAGAGAAAUCUCUAUGGAAUUCUAAGAUUUAUCUUAACUAAGCACAACUCUUAGCAAUGGAUAUCUUGGUUCUCGCAACGAUGAAGAACGCAGCGAAAUGCGAUAUGUAAUGCGAAUUGCAGAGUUCAGUGAAUCAUCGAAUCUUUGAACGCAAAUUGCGCUCUCGGGAUAGACCUGGGAGCACGCCUCUCUGAGUAUCGGUUCAACCCAUCUCGGUUGGCGUAUUGAGUUUCGGCUUGAUGCGCCUAAUCCGGAAAAUGAGAGUCUUGGCUACAUCUAAAGCGGCUAAGUCUCUUGAAAUAUGUUGAGCUUAGAUCGACUAGUAUUACCUUUCUAACUUCGGUUGGAAUAGCCAUUCUUGGCUCUUUCUCUACUAGUGACGUGGAUAAUCUCACCCUCGUGGUGUCUUGAAACGUUGCUUCUUGCAUUGAAAGGUUCAUAGACAAGUUUGGUGAAAGAAACUAGAUCUGAUCUGUAGCGUUGGAAUUGAUUUUCUGUGGUUGGCUCCUUUCCUCUCUCGGGCGGAUUGGGUCUGGCCAUAGAAACCUCUUUCGAAUUAGAUCUCAGAUGAAGUGAGAAGACCCCCUGAAUUUAAGCAUAUUAAUAAGGGGAGGAAAAGAAACUAACAAGGAUUCCCCUAGUAACGGCGAGUGAAGCGGGAAGAGCUCAAUUUGAAAAUCGGUGCUCCAAGCGGGUCAUCGAAUUGUAGCCUAGAGGACGUGUCAUCAGCGUGUGAGCCAGGUACAAGUCCUUUGGAAGAAGGCAUCAGAGAGGGUGAGAAUCCCGUCCUUGACCUGGAGUUCGCCGCGUACGAUGCAUGUUCACAGAGUCGAGUUGUUUGGGAUUGCAGCUCUAAAUGGGUGGUAAGUUUCAUCUAAAGCUAAAUAUUGGCGAGAGACCGAUAGCGAACAAGUACCGUGAGGGAAAGAUGAAAAGAACUUUGAAAAGAGAGUUAAAAAGUACUUGAAAUUGCUAAGAGGGAAGCGCUGGAAACCAGUCGUUACUCGCAGUCAUAUCGAUUGUUUGCUCCCGAAGGAGUGUGCUGUUAGUGGGCGAACCCUAGCAGUAUGCUCGGACGGAGGGUAGAUGGUUCUGUGGCUGUGAGUGUGUCAGGAUCAAUUCGAUUCGCAGGAGAAAGUAAUGAGGAAGGUAGGGCUGCUUUCGGGUAGCCUGUUAUAGCCUUGUUACCAUACUGUGGGUUGGAUUGAGGAAGUAAUGUUGCGCCUUUUUGGCUUGGUACCUUGUUCCUGCUGGAUCAUCUGGUUUGGAUAGCAAUGCUAUGCGGCUAGAGAAGUCUGGUACUGGGUGAGACUACCAUAUGCAUCAUCGCGAUCCUGACGAAAUGGUUUUCAUCGACCCGUCUUGAAACACGGACCAAGGAGUCUAACAUAUAUGCGAGUAUUUGGGUGGUAAACCCUGGUGCGUAAUGAAAGUAAAGGCAGCUUGUCUGCUGAGGUAGGAACCCGGCAACGGGGGCACUAUCGACCGAUCAUCACUUGUGAAAGAUUUGAGUAAGAGCAUAUCUGUUGGGACCCGAAAGAUGGUGAUCUAUGCCUGAACAGGGUGAAGCCAGGGGAAACUCUGGUGGAAGCUCGUAGCGAUACUGACGUGCAAAUCGUUCGUCUGAUUUGGGUAUAGGGGCGAAAGACUAAUCGAACCAUCUAGUAGCUGGUUCCCUC
rnacentral:misc_RNA from 1 species